rnacentral:rRNA from 1 species
AAUCAAGCGCGAGAAGGGCGUUUGGUGGAUGCCUAGGCAGUAAGAGGCGAUGAAGGACGUGAUACUCUGCGAUAAGUCAUGGGGAGCUGAGAAUAAGCUUUGAUCCAUGAAUUUCCGAAUGGGGAAACCCACCUGACAGUCUGAUAUAAUUGCUUUUGCACUUUAUAUCAUUCUGAACCAGGUACUUUUACCCUGAAUACAUAGGGGUUUAAGAGCGAACCCGGGGAACUGAAACAUCUAAGUACCCGGAGGAAAGGACAUCAAUAGAUACUCCGCUAGUAGUGGCGAGCGAACGCGGACCAGCCGAGCCUUGAGAACGACUAGAAUGAUCUGGAAAGAUCAGCCAAAGUGGGUGACAGCCCCGUAUAGGAAGUUUGAUGGGACGUAUUAAGUAGGGCGGGACACGUGAAAUCCUGUCUGAAGAUCGGGGGACCACCCUCGAAGGCUAAGUACUCCUUACUGACCGAUAGUGAACCAGUACCGUGAGGGAAAGGUGAAAAGCACCCCGACGAGGGGAGUGAAACAGUUUCUGAAACCGGACGCCUACAAGACACCCGUUGAAAAGGGUCCGGAUGACGUGUGGCUAGGGGUGAAAGGCCAAUCAAAUCUGGAGAUAGCUGGUUCUCCGCGAAAGCUAUUUAGGUAGCGCGUCGAUUGUAUUCUCCCGGGGGUAGAGCACUGCAUGGAUGAUGGGGGCCCACAGCCUUACUGAGUCUAAGCAAACUCCGAAUACCGGGAAGAACUGAUCGGCAGACACACGGCGGGUGCUAACGUCCGUCGUGGAGAGGGAAACAACCCUGACCAACAGCUAAGGCCCCCAAUUCGUGGCUAAGUGGGAAAGCAUGUGGGACUUCCAAAACAACCAGGAGGUUGGCUUAGAAGCAGCCAUCCUUUAAAGAUAGCGUAACAGCUCACUGGUCUAGUCAAGAGGUCCUGCGGCGAAGAUGUAACGGGGCUCAAGCCACGAGCCGAAGCUUUGGAUGCACAGUGAUGUGCGUGGUAGCGGAGCGUUCUGUGAUAUAGAACGCUGCCUCCUUACGCUCUUCGGAGCUAUUGGAGGCAAUGUUCUGACUGUGAAGCCGGGCUGUAAGGCAUCCGGUGGAGUGAUCAGAAGUGAGAAUGUUGACAUGAGUAGCGACAAACAGGGUGAGAGACCCUGUCGCCGAAAGUCCAAGGGUUCCUGCUUAAAGCUAAUCUGAGCAGGGUAAGCCGACCCCUAAGGCGAG